ensembl:ncRNA T21H3.9 ncRNA
UAGGUUUAAGCUUAGGAUUAGUCUUAGGCUUAGGCUUAGGAUCAGGUUGAGGCUUAAGUUUAGGCUCAGGCUUAGGCUUAGGCUUAGA